ACACAUCAUAUCAGUCUUACUUCAUUCAUAGUAAUCAUUGAAGUAAAUUAAAAAAAAUUAAGACUUAUUACACCAUCAACAAUAAGGUGACCGGUCACCGCUUGAUGACAAAACCAUUUACCAUUCCGUUGGUGCACCCAUAGAAGAAGAGAGAGAAUCCAAUCAGCGGGAAAUAAAGUUCAAGUAAAAAUAGAAACAAAUCCUACGUGUGCUGUAUUAUAGUGUAUAGGUAACCAAAGCAAGCAGCGGUGAGGUAUAUCGAAACUCGUUUUCCCAUCUUUAUGGUUACGCCUAUACUUUUCCACAUUACUUAACCGAGUGUGACACAAAUACUACAUGUGCAGAGGUUGAUUAUCAACUUUGCUGCUUGUUUUGUUAUUAUUUAAUCAAAGCACAUCAAGAGAUUUAAAGAUGGGGAAUGUUGUAUACUCAAUCAUCUGGCUGCUUAUUUUGAUAAUUGUUUCAUUUUGGAUAGCAGGAAUAUGUGCAGGAUUAUACAUUAUAGUCCAUCCACUAAGUGUUUGCCUGGAGCCGUUAGCGGGUUUUGCGGAGAUUCUACUCUCUGGAGUGCAGUUCCCCCAUUACUGCGCAGAAAAAAUGAUGAGCGGGGCACCUUUAGGUUAAAAUUUUUUAAACCAUUCGAAUAAGUUCAAAUCUUACUAAUACAAAUACAAAGUAAAGUGUUCAUUUAGGCUCUAAGAUAGUGUGGUAGUUAGUUUUUAUACCUAUAUUUGUUAAAAUAUAAGAGCUAUAUAAAUGUUGAAGAUGUAAAAUUGUUUUCAUAUUAUAAUACGAUCAUUAAUAUUAUAUUAACCAUAUCAAGCAGCGUACAAAGUUCAGGCAGGUUGUUAAUAAUAAUUUGUAUGAAAUAGUUAACAUAAACAGAAACAAUGUUGUGUAAAAAUGUUUUUAACAUGUUAACAAAGUAUUUAUUUGUCUUAAAAAGUAAUUACUACAGUAGCGUUAUGAUUGUUAAUAAUUGUAUAUCCAACAUUAAAUUAUUUUAUUAAGAAGUAA